GCGAUUUCUGCCUCGCAUAGUGUGGCCUGCAAAGCCCUGGAUGAACCUUCACAUUGGGAGCCCGUCCUGUUCCUUCUUUCUGUCCUGCAGGUGUGGCUCGCAGAUGGCUCGGGUUGGAAAGUCCAUCCUUUGGCAGUUAGGCUUGUCUCCCCUGACUCUGAUAUGCAAGGCCUGAGCAAGCCUGAGCUUUCUGCCUUCCAGCUCAGCACUGCUGCUGCUUCCAAGGAAGCAUCUGGAAACCCACGUGGAGGGCAGAGCCACUAAUGGUUCCUACUCUGUUCCCCCUCGAGUAGGGCAGUUGCCAUCCCGCUGCGUUGCCCACUGAGAAGACAUCGGGUUUGCAUCUGCAUAUGUACGCACACCUCCAGUUCUCCCAGCAACCCCUGCCCACCUCUCGCUCUCUCUCACGCCCCCCUCAAGGAAAGAUGCCUCUUCUAGUGUUAAUACCUUUUCACCUGGAGCAGAUAACACAGAUCCAGAGAUACGGAGCCAGACAAUCAAAUGGCAACUGGACAAGCUCCGGGAUGGACACAGUGAAGGGCCACCGUGCUGGCCUCAGCAUUUUGGAUGUGGAAACAGCCCCAGAGAAGUGAGAGAGGCUGCACCCUGCAUCUCCCUCCCUCCCUACCCGCUCUGAGUGUCGAUGCAGAUGUUGGCUGGUGCCCUGCACAUACUGCCAGCGAGGUAAGCGAGGUGCCAGCCCAUGAACUUUAAGGAGCCCUUGUUCUCAGGCACCUGCAUCUUGUGCCCUUGCUACUCGCUGGUUUUGCUCUGGCCCUGACCCUGCAUCCCAGCUCGAUAACCUCUGUUUCAAGCUUACUCCCUGCCAGGCCCUGCACUACUCAUUUUUAAACGUGUUAGUUCAUUUAAUUCAGCGUCCUGGUAAUAUGGGUAUUAUCGGUAUCUGCAUUCUUGCUGAUGAGGACGAUGGGACUUAGAGCGGGGAGAGUGACCUGUCCAAAGUCACAAGGCGGGGAAGGCAAUUUGGUUAGAAUCCUAGCUGGCUGGCUGGCUCCGGGCCCUACGUCUGCUAGCAGGACCCCGGAAUUCCCAGGGAGAGAAACGGGUGGAUCUGGACAUUAUCUCCCCAUGGGCUGCUUGCUCAGCUUGCAAUAGCUGGGGGUUCCCUGGAGAGAGGCUUAGGAACACCACGGCCCCAGGGGUGUGUUUGGUGGUGGGGAGGGUGCAUGGGCACAGGAAGGAAGCAAGGAAUCGCCCUCAGUCUGCUCGGCAGGCCUUGCUGAUAAAGACAGGGCUGCUUGCACCUUGGCCUCCUGCAGCCUCCCAAUCUUAAACACAUGAUUCCUCUGCAUUUGGCUCCUCCUCUGGCUCUCUAGAGAGGGAGCCCUUCCCUGGGGAUGGAGGAUGGAGUGGGCAUGCUCAGUGGGGCUGGGGCUCAGGCUGUGGCCAGCUCCAAGUCUUGGAGGCUGAUGGGAGGGGAGCAAGCCCAGCCCAAGGGGCACUUGCUCUUUGGGGGAAGGGAAGCUGGGGGCAGGCUUUCUGCAGGGGCAGCAGGGAUCCCCUGGGCCAUGAACAGUGCUCUGAGGGAGCCUGCCCAUUCUCCCCCACCCCCUCUCCACCCGUAGUGAGGCGAGAACCAGAACUGCAGCUGAUCUGAAAGAUUGUGAUCUAUAAUUUAUACCCAGCUCCUUCCAGAAAGGACCGGCGGCUGCCUGCCAGGGGAUUUGUAACUGUGGGUUUUGCUUUGAUGAAGCUAAGGGGAUUUCAGGUGGUCCCUCGGGUCAGGUGGUGCUGAAUUAAGACCAUCUGUGAAGCAGAUGCCCACGUACUAACUUCUCUAUCUUCCCAGCACGCCUUCUGAGAGUAAUUUUCUCCAUGUGACAAAUGGAAACUGAGGCUCAGAGGGUGACAUGACUUGCCCAAGGUCCCACACCUGGGGAAGGCAGGAUUUAAAUCCGAGUCUCUUUGAUUAGGGCAGCAUCAAAACUAUUCCCUAGGAAGCAGAUGUCGAUACCAUUUAAAAUCUCUGACUGAAAUCUCUGGUGCCUACAGGCAUGACCCAGCUCUGCGUGUUACCCAGACAGUUCUAGGCACCCAUGGAAUUCUGGCCCCAAUUUUCCUGGGACCAUUUCCACCCAAAACCUGGGUCUUGGAGAAUCUCAAAUAGAGUGUAUUUUGUUAUGUAGAGUAAGGAGGGAAGGGGGUAAGAUUUGACAUCUGAGUACUUUGUACACGCAGACCUGGCCAAAAGGAGAUCUACUCCCCACCUCUCCAAUCAAAGAAUUGAAUUGUAGACAAUGACGUUCUUAAGAAUAUGGCUUUGAGAGGCAUUUGGGGGCUUGGUCGGUUAAGCAUCUGCCUUUGACUCAGAUCAUGAUCCUGGCAUGGAACCCUAUGUUGGGCUCCCUGCUCAGUGGGGGAGUCUGCAUCUCCCUCUGCACCAUCUCCCCCAACCCUGACUCAUGUUUGUGCA